GACGAAGGAUGCAAGCGUUAUCCGGAUUCAUUGGGUUCAAAGGGCGCGUAGGUGGCCUUAUAAGUCAGUGGUGAAAUCUCUGGGCUUAACCCAGAAAUUGCCAUUGAUACUGUAGGGCUUGAGUAUAGUUGCCGUUGGCGGAAUAUGACAUGUAGUGGUGAAAUACAUAGAGAUGUCAUAGAACACCGAUUGCGAAGGCAGCUGACGAAACUAUAACUGACACUGAGGCUCGAAAGUGCGGGGAUCAAACAGG
rnacentral:rRNA from 1 species